rnacentral:lncRNA from 1 species
GCCCCCUAUAACUUCACCUUUAAAAGUGGGAUCUAAACGAAUUUAGUGCAUCGAAUUAGAAUUUGGUUCAAACAUCAUUAUUGUUUCUUUAUGUCUACAAUACAAAGGACCCUCCAAUAGUGCAAAAUAGCUACUACAAUGUAAAGACCACUUAAAUGAGAUUUGUACCUAUUCCAAUACUCGUCAGAAAAUUAUAGGAAAAUAUUUAAAUGAAGACAUAAUCAAUGGUGC